AAAAAGGCAAAUACUAGGUUUUCGUAUCCAACGUUUGACUAUCCGUCUUAUAUAAAAUUUUUUUAUAAUUAGUAUUUUCAUUGUUGUUAGAUGAUAAAACAUGAUUAAUACUUUAUGCGUGACUUGUCUUUUUAAUUUUUUUCAUAAUUUUUUUUAAAUAAUACGGACGGUCAAACGUUGGAUACGGAAACCUAGGUGUGGAGAUUAUA
rfam:Oryza glumipatula chromosome 5, whole genome shotgun sequence.